rnacentral:lncRNA from 1 species
AUGGCCGCACCCAUGGCAUAUGGAAGUUCCUGGACUAGGGACUGAAUCUGAGCCGCAGGUGCGGCAGAGCCAGAUCCUUUAACCCACUGUGCUGGGCCGGGGAUAGAAACCGAGCCUCUACAGUCAGAUUCUUAACCAACUGCACCACAGUAGGAACCCCAACAUUCGACAUUUGAUGGUGCAGAUACCUCCUUCUUCCUUCAGUGUAAAUAUUCUAAUACAAAUAUUUUUAUUAAUUGCCCCCCGCCAAAAAACAACAAAAAACCAAAAAGCACAAUAAAAAAAUUGGACCUUACCAAACCACCUGUAGGGCUUGCUUGCCCCUCUGGUACACUCUUCCACCCUGUGUCUUGCCUUGGUAAUGCCUGAUGGGUCACCCGAUAGGCUUCAACCUAGACAUCACACAUUUCUUCAGGAACCUUCCCUUCCACUAUGCUCCUGUCACCAGGGGUGUAGUACUAGGGGAAUCACACCUGAUAGCAAUUGCUCAUUUAUUUAGUACCCUCCAGCAUAUACAUUAAAUACAUCUGUAAGUACUUGCUGACUAUUCCACUAGGUAAUAGGCACCACCCAACCUGGGAAAGAUGAUUGGUGCCUUCCCCGUAGAGCCUAGUCCAAGCUUUUGUUUUGUUUGUCCUUUUAUAGCCACACCUAUGGCAUAUGGAAGUUCCCAGGUGCAGCCCUAAAAGGACAAAAGACCAAAAAUAAAUAAAUCAACUGCAGCUUGUGUUAAGCUUAAUCCACUGAGCAAGGCCAAGGGUUGAAUCUACAUCUUCACGGACACUUUGUGGGGUUCUUAACCCACUGAGCCACAAGAGGAACUCCUUGUUUUGUUUUUAAAUGGCUUUAUUGAGAUUUAGUCCAUGGACUAUGCAAUUCACCCAUUUAAGAUGUAAAAUUUGGGAGUUCCUGGGUGGCACAGUGGGUUAAGGAUUUUGCGAUGUCAUUGCUAUGGCUUGUAUUACCGCUGUGGCGCAGGUAAGAUCCCUGGCCCAGGAACUUCUGCAUACUGCAUGUAUAUGGCCAAAAAUAAAUAAAUAAAAUGUACAAUUUAGUGGCUUUUAGUAUAUUUACAAAGUUCAUCACCACAAUCAGUUUUAAAGUUUUCAUCAACCCCAAAAGAAACUUCGCACUCCUUAGGUAUCAUCGCUGGGGCCUCUGCAUCCCCUUCCCUUCCCCAUCACCCAGCCCCUGAGGUAACCACCAAUCUAGUGUAACCACAGAUCCUAUAGAUUUGCCUAUUCUGGAUAUUUCUUAUGUGAAUCAGGUUAGGUCUUCCCCAUCUUACCCAGUUCUGAGAUUCUUCUAAGAACUUCCCUGGAGAUUCAAAUUCAGAGAUCAGAGAAUCNCCCGCUUUUUAGGGCCGCACCUGCAGCAUAUGGAAGUUCCCAGGCUAGGGGUUUGAAUCGGCGCCACAGCUGCUGGACCACAGCACAACCACAGCCACGUGAGAUCCGAGCCAUGUCUUCCACCUACACCACAGCUCACAGCAACUCCGAAUCCCCAACCCACUGAGUGAGGCCAGGGAUUGAACCUGCACCCUCAUGGAUCCUAGUCGGGUUCGUUAACCAAUGAGCUACAAAGGGAACUCUGGAAUCUGUAUUUUUAACAUGGGGUCUUCUCUAAAGAGUCAAUUCUCUAUUUAAUCAGACUGCAUCUGCCUUUACUGUCUCCAGCAACCAAGGCCAAAUGUAUAGUAGUUGUCAACAAAUAGCUUUUGAUGACUACCUCUAAAACUUAACACAAUCAAGCAUUUUGAGUAUGGCGAGUCCCCUUGUGGCUUGGCAGGUUGGGGACAAUAUAGGCAGGGAGGAGUGAGAUCAGACUAGUAGAGGAGGCAAAUUGAAUCCACAGAGGCCAAAGGUGGCAAUUAGAAAGGGGCUUGUGGAGUGGCUGAAGAGUUUGGGAUUUAUUACCUCUAGGGUACUGGAGAGUCAUCCAUGGGCUUGAAGCAGGGGAAUUAUGAGAUCACAUCUGGGCUGUGCAGUUGUGUAGGGGGAGGAGGCAGGAAGCAGUGAAGAGUCUAAAGAUGUGGUCAGAAGUGAUAGUGCCUGAGCCAGGUUGGAGGCAGUGGGGAUAGAGAGAUUAGAGUGAAGAGAUAUCCCAAAGGCAGAAUGGACAAUUUAGAGAUUGAUGGGAUGUGGGAGAUGAGAGAAUGAAG